rnacentral:lncRNA from 1 species
UCGGGGAUGGGAACUCCUUGGUGACCCUGAAUGUUCAUGUUGAAUUUCGAAUGCACUGAGAGGAGCAGUGUCUGUAUGAGGGCAAUGCUAGCCUAGGAUGACAAGCAAACCAGAUCCAAAUCCGAACUCAUUUAUGCUCAUCUUCCACAGAAGAUCCUUGUCGGCCGCCCUAGUCACCAUAUGCCGAGAAAAGGAUGCGAUCAAUUAAUGGUUGCCUACUAUAUCCUCUAUUUCCACUGUAAGACACUUUCAUAACUUAAAAAAUUAUCUACUUGUGUAUGUUUUUCCUGCUAGGAUCAUUCACGAAAAGCCGGAAGGGCGAGAUACUAAUACUAAUAAUGGAGAAUUUCAGGACUCCCAUUGAAGUGCUUCUUGCCCUGGACUUUUCCCCCUCGCAGAGUUGACCAAAAUCUCCAGUGACAAUCUGCAACUAAAAGGAGCUGCCCCUCAAUCCACAGAGCAGAACAAAUGGACCAUUUUGCAGGGGUCAUGUCCAAAUGCUGUGUGCGGGAUACAGAUCAAGAAGGCCCAAA